rnacentral:lncRNA from 1 species
UGAACAUCAAAGGCCAGUGGGCCUUGUUUUCUGUGGGACUUUGAUGUUGAAUAUGGGUGUUUAUAAAUGUUAAUAUGAUUGUUCUUUUUAGGAUUUUCCUUUACAUUUUUUGUUAUCUUUUUCCCUGUGCCGACCCGACCUCCACAGCGCAGGGUCGGGUGAGCCUCCUAGGCUCUGCGUUAGUUAGAGCGUCCCGAGCCUAAGUCUUUUUCUCUUCCUUAGUAAUUUCGAAGUUCGGAUUCGUCUCCCGAUCCUAGGGGGUGAGUGGAGGUCGUCCUAGCCCGUGGGCGCAGAUCUUUCCUCGGGCUCACGCCCUCUUAAGAUUUAGGGGAUGGAUCUGCGACCUCUUAAAUUCUUUUAGGAAACGAAGGAAAGGCCUUGGGUCGGGGCGCUUUAACUUGCGAAAAAAGGAAAGGAAAUUUGGGGUUGCCACAGGGGGUUCCCCCGUGUAGCCCCUGAGGGA